GUUACAGCCGGCGAUGUCCGAAUGGGGAAACCCAGUGCAAUUCGUUGCACUAUCGUUAACUGAAUACAUAGGUUAACGAGGCGAACCGGGGGAACUGAAACAUCUAAGUACCCCGAGGAAAAGAAAUCAACCGAGAUUCCCCCAGUAGCGGCGAGCGAACGGGGAGCAGCCCAGAGUCUGAAUCAGCUUGUGUGUUAGUGGAACGGUCUGGAAAGUCCGACGGUACAGGGUGAUAGUCCCGUACACCAAAAUGCACAGGCUGUGAACUCGAAGAGUAGGGCGGGACACGUGGUAUCCUGUCUGAAUAUGGGGGGACCAUCCUCCAAGGCUAAAUACUCCUGACUGACCGAUAGUGAACCAGUACCGUGAGGGAAAGGCGAAAAGAACCCCGGCGAGGGGAGUGAAAAAGAACCUGAAACCGUGUACGUACAAGCAGUGGGAGCACCUUCGGGUGUGACUGCGUACCUUUUGUAUAAUGGGUCAGCGACUUAUAUUCUGUAGCAAGGUUAACCGUAUAGGGGAGCCGCAGGGAAACCGAGUCUUAACUGGGCGUUAAGUUGCAGGGUAUAGACCCGAAACCCGGUGAUCUAGCCAUGGGCAGGUUGAAGGUUGGGUAACACUAACUGGAGGACCGAACCGACUAAUGUUGAAAAAUUAGCGGAUGACUUGUGGCUGGGGGUGAAAGGCCAAUCAAACCGGGAGAUAGCUGGUUCUCCCCGAAAGCUAUUUAGGUAGCGCCUCGUGAACUCAUCUUCGGGGGUAGAGCACUGUUUCGGCUAGGGGGUCAUCCCGACUUACCAACCCGAUGCAAACUACGAAUACCGAAGAAUGUUAUCACGGGAGACACACGGCGGGUGCUAACGUCCGUCGUGAAGAGGGAAACAACCCAGACCGCCAGCUAAGGUCCCAAAGUCAUGGUUAAGUGGGAAACGAUGUGGGAAGGCACAGACAGCCAGGAUGUUGGCUUAGAAGCAGCCAUCAUUUAAAGAAAGCGUAAUAGCUCACUGGUCGAGUCGGCCUGCGCGGAAGAUGUAACGGGGCUAAACCAUGCACCGAAGCUGCGGCAGCGACACUAUGUGUUGUUGGGUAGGGGAGCGUUCUGUAAGCCUGCGAAGGUGUGCUGUGAGGCAUGCUGGAGGUAUCAGAAGUGCGAAUGCUGACAUAAGUAACGAUAAAGCGGGUGAAAAGCCCGCUCGCCGGAAGACCAAGGGUUCCUGUCCAACGUUAAUCGGGGCAGGGUGAGUCGACCCCUAAGGCGAGGCCGAAAGGCGUAGUCGAUGGGAAACAGGUUAAUAUUCCUGUACUUGGUGUUACUGCGAAGGGGGGACGGAGAAGGCUAUGUUAGCCGGGCGACGGUUGUCCCGGUUUAAGCAUGUAGGCUGAUUAUCCAGGCAAAUCCGGAUAAUCAAGGCUGAGGUGUGAUGACGAGGCACUACGGUGCUGAAGUAACAAAUGCCCUGCUUCCAGGAAAAGCCUCUAAGCAUCAGGUAACAUCAAAUCGUACCCCAAACCGACACAGGUGGUCAGGUAGAGAAUACCAAGGCGCUUGAGAGAACUCGGGUGAAGGAACUAGGCAAAAUGGUGCCGUAACUUCGGGAGAAGGCACGCUGGUGUGUAGGUGAAGUCCCUGCGGAUGGAGCUGAGACCAGUCGAAGAUACCAGCUGGCUGCAACUGUUUAUUAAAAACACAGCACUGUGCAAACACGAAAGUGGACGUAUACGGUGUGACGCCUGCCCGGUGCCGGAAGGUUAAUUGAUGGGGUUAUCCGUAAGGAGAAGCUCUUGAUCGAAGCCCCGGUAAACGGCGGCCGUAACUAUAACGGUCCUAAGGUAGCGAAAUUCCUUGUCGGGUAAGUUCCGACCUGCACGAAUGGCGUAAUGAUGGCCAGGCUGUCUCCACCCGAGACUCAGUGAAAUUGAACUCGCUGUGAAGAUGCAGUGUACCCGCGGCAAGACGGAAAGACCCCGUGAACCUUUACUAUAGCUUGACACUGAACAUUGAGCCUUGAUGUGUAGGAUAGGUGGGAGGCUUUGAAGCGUGGACGCCAGUCUGCGUGGAGCCAACCUUGAAAUACCACCCUUUAAUGUUUGAUGUUCUAACGUUGGCCCCUGACCGGGGUUGCGGACAGUGUCUGGUGGGUAGUUUGACUGGGGCGGUCUCCUCCCAAAGCGUAACGGAGGAGCACGAAGGUUAGCUAAUCCUGGUCGGACAUCAGGAGGUUAGUGCAAUGGCAUAAGCUAGCUUGACUGCGAGCGUGACGGCGCGAGCAGGUGCGAAAGCAGGUCAUAGUGAUCCGGUGGUUCUGAAUGGAAGGGCCAUCGCUCAACGGAUAAAAGGUACUCCGGGGAUAACAGGCUGAUACCGCCCAAGAGUUCAUAUCGACGGCGGUGUUUGGCACCUCGAUGUCGGCUCAUCACAUCCUGGGGCUGAAGUAGGUCCCAAGGGUAUGGCUGUUCGCCAUUUAAAGUGGUACGCGAGCUGGGUUUAGAACGUCGUGAGACAGUUCGGUCCCUAUCUGCCGUGGGCGCUGGAGAAUUGAGGGGGGCUGCUCCUAGUACGAGAGGACCGGAGUGGACGCAUCACUGGUGUUCGGGUUGUCAUGCCAAUGGCACUGCCCGGUAGCUAAAUGCGGAAGAGAUAAGUGCUGAAAGCAUCUAAGCACGAAACUUGCCCCGAGAUGAGUUCUCCCUGAGACUUUAAGUCUCCUGAAGGAACGUUAAAGACGAUGACGUUGAUAGGCCGGGUGUGUAAGCGCAGCGAUGCGUUGAGCUAACCGGUACUAAUGAACCGUGAGGCUUAACCUU
rnacentral:rRNA from 1 species